CUAGAGCUGUACUUUGAGACAUGGGGUGGAGCUGUAGAGAAAAUCAUCACAAAUCCAGAGCAGAAAACUGUUAUUAUAAUUUUCCAGUCACAAGAUGCUGUACAAAGAAUUUUGGACAAGACCGAUCACAGUAUCUGCAAAGUGCCAGUCACCAUACAGCCAUACUUUGGUCUUGAUGAGAAUGAAAUCAGCAAGGGUCUGGAAGACACUCCACAGUCCAGUGCUGUGGUCAUUGAGAAAGUCCCAGACCAUCUUUCCAGAGAGUUCCUCAUGUUUUUAGUGGACAGUAUCUGUGGUACAUCUGAAGAUAAAUAUUCU